rnacentral:lncRNA from 1 species
AUGCCAGCAAAUUUGGAAAACUCAGCAGUGGCCACAGGACUGGAAACGUCAGUUUUCGUUCCAAUCCCAAAGAAAGGCAAUGCCAAAAAAUGCUCAAACCACCGAACAAUUGCACUCAUCCCACAUGCUAGUAAAGUAAUGCUCAAAAUUGUCCAAGCCAGGCUUCAGCAAUACGUUAACUGUGAACUUCCAGAUGUUCAAGCUGGUUUUAGAAAAGGCAGAGGAACCAGGAAUCAAGUUGACAACAUCCACUGGAUCUUCAAAAAAGCAAGAGAGUUCCAGAAAAACAUCUAUUUCUGCUUUCUUGACUAUGCCAAAGCCUUUGACUGUGUGGAUCACAAUAAACUGUCGAAAAUUCUGAAAGAAAUGGGUAUACCAGACCACCUGACCUGCCUCUUGAGAAACCUAUAUGCAGGUCAGGAAGCAACAGUUAGAACUGGACAUGAAGCAACAGACUGGUUCCAAAUAGGAAAAGGAGUACGUCAAGGCUGUAUAUUGUCACCCUGCUUAUUUAACUUCUAUGCAGAGUACAUCAUGAGAAAUGCUGGGCUGGAAGAAGCACAAGCUGGAAUCAAGAUUGCCAGGAGAAAUAUCAAUAACCUCAGAUAUGCAGAUGACACUACCCUUAUGGCAGAAAGUGAAGAGGAACUAAAAAGCCUCUUGAUGAAAGUGAAAGAGGAGAGUGAAAAAUUUGGCUUAAAGCUCAACAUUCAGAAAACGAAGAUCAUGGCAUCCGGUCCCAUCACUUCAUGGGAAAUAGAUGGGGAAACAGUGGAAACAGUGUCAGACUUUAUUUUUGGGGGCUCCAAAAUCACUGCAGAUGGUGACUGCAGCCAUGAAGUUAAAAGACGCUUACUCCUUGGAAGAAAAGUUAUGACCAACCUAGAUAGCAUAUUGAAAAGCAGAGAUAUUACUUUGCCAACAAAGGUCUGUCUAAUCAAGGCUAUGGUUUAUCCAGUAGUCAUGUAUGAAUGUGAGAGUUGGACUGUGAAGAAAGCUGAGUGCCAAAGAAUUGAUGCUUUUGAAGUGUGGUGUUAG